UAAUACGCUGUACUCGAGUAUAGAUGGCAGGAAAAGAUAUAUGUGCGUUACGUUCAAUGCCCUGUGUAAACAUGCAUCAAUAAUAAUUACGACAAUAAUGCAACCAUUGUUACGUUAUGAAAAACUAAAAGCACUGUAAAUUAUUUACUACUAGAAAAGUCCGUAAAUAAUAACGUUGUCUUGAAACGGGGACAGUAUAAUGCUCGCAAAAUUUCUUCAAGUGCUGAUAAAACAAAGAAUGAGAUUGUAGUAUUAUUGAGAGCGUAAUGAAUACAGCAUUUUUAAAUGCAUU